rnacentral:tRNA from 1 species
GAUGGUAUGGCUCAAGUGGUAGAGUGCCAGCCUUGAGAAGAAAAAGCUGAGGGCCUAAGUUCAAACCCUAGUACUAACA